rfam:Ictidomys tridecemlineatus contig024816, whole genome shotgun sequence.
UGUGUGGAAAUGAACUCUUGUUAGAGUUUCAAAGGAAUUAAUAUAUUUUUUUUUGGUAAAAUGUGCUAAUGUAAAGAGUUAGAAGAUUAGUGAUGUUUAAUGAAUAGAAUGCAUUCUUUCUCAUGGAAAUGGGAAUAUAAUAAGUGUCCUGUAGGUGAUUGGGUUGUAGCAAUUUUAUUGAAGAUUAAAGUUUGAUUGACCUUUGUUAGGGUGAUUAACCU